CCAAGGAGUUUAGCGUGUGCGCGAGUCAUUGGGUAACACGAAACCUAAAGGCGAAAUGAAAGUGAAGGAAACUUCUGUUUCUGAGGGAAGAUGGGUUGACCUCUCUAAAGGGUCGCCUCGCACUCCCGGGGCGUCUCUAUCUCAUUGCGAGAGGAGGCGCACCUAGAGCGUACACGCUGAUACCCGAAAGAUGGUGAACUAUGCCUGGCCAGGACGAAGCCAGGGGAAACCCUGGUGGAGGUCCGCAGCGAUUCUGACGUGCAAAUCGAUCGUCGGAGCUGGGUUUAGGGGCGAAAGACCAAUCGAACCAUCUAGUAGCUGGUUCCCUCUGAAGUUUCCCUCAGGAUAAGCUA
rnacentral:rRNA from 1 species